rnacentral:rRNA from 1 species
CGUAACAAGGUCUCCGUUGGUGAACCAGCGGAGGGAUCAUUACCGAGUUUGCAACUCCCAAACCCCUGUGAACAUACCUUAUGUUGCCUCGGCGGAUCAGCCCGCGCCCCGUAAAAAGGGACGGCCCGCCGCAGGAACCCUAAACUCUGUUUUUAGUGGAACUUCUGAGUAUAAAAAACAAAUAAAUCAAAACUUUCAACAACGGAUCUCUUGGUUCUGGCAUCGAUGAAGAACGCAGCAAAAUGCGAUAAGUAAUGUGAAUUGCAGAAUUCAGUGAAUCAUCGAAUCUUUGAACGCACAUUGCGCCCGCCAGUAUUCUGGCGGGCAUGCCUGUUCGAGCGUCAUUUCAACCCUCAAGCCCAGCUUGGUGUUGGGAGCUGCAGUCCUGCUGCACUCCCCAAAUACAUUGGCGGUCACGUCGAGCUUCCAUAGCGUAGUAAUUUACACAUCGUUACUGGUAAUCGUCGCGGCCACGCCGUUAAACCCCAACUUCUGAAUGUUGACCUCGGAUCAGGUAGGAAUACCCGCUGAACUUAAGCAUAUCA